CCUACGGGAGGCAGCAGUGAGGAAUAUUGGUCAAUGGGCGGAAGCCUGAACCAGCCAAGUAGCGUGCAGGAUGAAGGCCCUACGGGUUGUAAACUGCUUUUAUACGGGAAUAACGCGCCUUACGUGUAGGGCUUUGCAUGUAACGUAUGAAUAAGGACCGGCUAAUUACGUGCCAGCAGCCGCGGUAAUACGGAAGGGCCGGGCGUUAUCCGGAUGUAUUGGGGUUAAGGGGAGCGUAGGGCGCAUGUCAAGCGUGCUGUGAAAUGUCCGGGCUCAACCCGGGCCUUGCAGCGCGAACUGGCGUGCUUGAGUCCGCGGAGAGCAGGCGGAAGU
rnacentral:rRNA from 1 species